UUUACUACUUUAACUCAAGGAGAAUAUGAAGAAGAAAGCACCACAAAACCAAGAUGAGUAGCAUAUGUACAAUAUGAAGAAGUUACAGCAACAGAGACUGAACUAUAUGAAACAGAAGAACAGGAGACCUCAACCUAU